rnacentral:tRNA from 1 species
GCCUGAUUGGCUCAGUUGGUUAGGAGUCUGACUUCAGCUCAGGUCAUGAUCUCAUGGUUCAUGGGUUUGAGCCCCACAUCAGGCU